rnacentral:rRNA from 1 species
UACGGGGGGGGCAAGCGUUGUUCGGAAUUACUGGGCGUAAAGGGCGCGUAGGCGGCCUGCUAAGUCGGACGUGAAAUCCCCCGGCUCAACCGGGGAACUGCGUCCGAUACUGGUGGGCUCGAAUCCGGGAGAGGGAUGUGGAAUUCCAGGUGUAGCGGUGAAAUGCGUAGAUAUCUGGAGGAACACCGGUGGCGAAGGCGGCAUCCUGGACCGGUAUUGACGCUGAGGCGCGACAGCGUGGGGAGCAAACAGG